rnacentral:lncRNA from 1 species
ACAGACCCUGAGGAGUAUCGGGAUGUGCAAAGCAUUAAUGGUGUGUCGUCUCUGUGUGGGAGGAUCAGCAUGCGUUUCCUUCUUUAACAAUUCCUUUCUCCAACAUGCAGGAUUCCUUUUGCGGCCAGGAAGAGCAGUUGUUCUGUGCUGAUUGUUUCUUAAAGCUUGGCCUGGACUCUGGGCUGUGAAGUCUUCAGGUACAACACCUCCCUGGUCAGCGUCCGGGGUGAGGCUCCCGACUUGGUUCUCAUCCACGCUGUGGGUGAAGAGAUUCGGGGAAGGCCACCGUCCUGUGCUGGGCAGAGUGCCUCUGUGCCCGCCGGGGAGCCCGAGGUUGGGAGAGGUUGCCGCCGUUCUUCGCUUGAGCUUUACUCGCCAAGGAGAGAAAGCACACAAACCCGCCCUCACGGCCUGCUCGGGCUGCCAGAACCAAAUGCCAUGGACUGGGUGGCUUCAACGGCAGAGAUUCACUUCCUCACAGUUUGGUGCUGGAAAUCUGAGAAUGAGGGGCCGACGUGGCUUAUUUUGGGGAUACCCCUGGGAGGGCAGAGCAGUCUGGAAACGUCUGCUGAAAUUGAUGCCUCCUCUGCCUUGAAGGAGCUGGAGCGAGGCCUUCCUGGCAGCCAAGGAAUCCCAGUCUCCUAGGUAAACUGAGAGCGCAGAGGUAAGAACAUAUCAGGCAAUGCUGACAGAACG